GAAGGAGAGGCCUCCGCCGCCCACAGAGGGCCGCGGGGGGCCGGCGGAGGCCUCUCCUUCUCCCUCCCUCCUCCGCUCGCUCUCUCCUUCUCUUCUUCUUCUUCUCCAGCUCUGGCUAAGUUCUGUCGGUACGGGCUGUGUACCAUUUUCCACGGCUAAACCGUACCGGUUAGAGUCCGGACCGAUACGAUACUGGCUGAAUCGGCCCAUACGGUAUGGGCCGAUUCAGCAUACCAUGACUGCUGCUAUCAUCACCACCUUUACUUUACCACCAUCAAACCAACCACCAACACUAUCACCACCUCUACCACUGCUACAACUACCACCAUGUCCAUCACCAUCAAUAUGUUGAUUUUUUAAAAAUAAUAAAAAAUAAUUGACUAUAACAAACAUGUUUACAUUUUUUAAAUUAGAAAAAUAACAGAAAAUUUUAAUUUUUUUAUUUAUGAAAAUAUAAAAAGGAAAGUGAUGCCAAACAACACCUAAUAUUUACGGGUUUUAGCCAAAAUCACCAAAAUGGAAAAAAUGGAGUGAAACUGAUAAAUUUCAGCCAAAAUCAGAUGAAACUUCCAUAAAUCAAAUAGCUCUAAUAUAUUAUAGAAAGAAGGGUGACAUUAGGUUGACAGCAGUUGCAAAGUGCAGCUCAAACCAUGAAACAAAUUCAACCUAGUGUAUAUCUUGGACCCCAUUGUAUAUUUUUCUCCUUAAUUCUACUGUGUAAGAUUUUAGAAUUUAUACCUAGAGAAUGGUUCCAUGGCAUGAUCUAAGAAAUGCCUCGACAGUAGCCUUAUUAUUAUAGUAAAAUCUUAUUAAGCACGUAGAAAAACUCAAUUUUAAACCAAUAAAUACACAUUUGUAUGGGACAAAAAUCUGCAGAAUACUGUCACAGUGGCAUACCUUCUCGUCAUUGUUCUCAAUCCAUUUUUGAGAUGUCAAACUGGAAUCAUCUUUACUAUCCUUAGACCUCCU
rnacentral:lncRNA from 1 species